UUCCUACGGGAGGCAGCAGUGGGGAAUAUUGCACAAUGGGGGGAACCCUGAUGCAGCGACGCCGCGUGAGUGAAGAAGUAUCUCGGUACGUAAAGCUCUAUCAGCAGGGAAGAAAAUGACAGUACCUGACUAAGAAGCCCCGGCUAACUACGUGGCAGCAGCCGCGGUAAUACGUAGGGGGCAAGCGUUAUCCGGAUUUACUGGGGGUAAAGGGAGCGUAGACGGCACUGCAAGUCCGGAGUGAAAGCCCACAGCACAACUGAGGGACUGCUCUGGAGACUGUGGAGCGCGAGUGCGGGAGGGGG
rnacentral:rRNA from 1 species